CCUGCCCCUAGAAGCAUUGUAGGUGUGGCCACCGUGUCACAUGUGCAUCAGGAGGUCGCAGAGAGGAGAAAGGUUAUGUCUAUACUUAGUGUCCUGACUUAUGAACAUCUGAAUGAUUAGUAGCCUAAAACU
rnacentral:snoRNA from 1 species